GUCCCUUCGGGACAUUCGAUAAAAUUAGAAUGAUACAAAGAAGAUUAGCAUGAUUCAUGUGCAAGGGAUGACACACACAAAUUAAAAAAUUGUCUGAACUUUU
rfam:Solanum tuberosum cultivar DM 1-3 516 R44 scf00234_11, whole genome shotgun sequence.